UACGAACCGUCCAAACGUUAUUCGGAAUUACUGGGCUUAAAGGGUUCGUAGGCGGCUGUGCAAGUCAGAUGUGAAAGCCCAGGGCUCAACCUUGGAAGUGCAUCUGAAACUGCGCAACUAGAGUCUCGGAGAGGGUGGUAGAAUUCCCAGUGUAGAGGUGAAAUUCGUAGAUAUUGGGAGGAAUACCGGUGGCGAAGGCGACCGCCUGGACGAAGACUGACGCUGAGGCGCGAGAGCGUGGGGAGCAAACAGG
rnacentral:rRNA from 1 species